GCCAGCGUAGCUCAGAUGGCAGAGCUACUGAUUUGUAAUCAGUGGGUCGGGGGUUCGAGUCCCUUCGCUGGCUCCA
rnacentral:tRNA from 1 species